UCGAGCGGAGAGGGAGCUUGCUCCCGGAUUCAGCGGCGGACGGGUGAGUCCCACCUGGGAAUCUGCCUGGUAGUGGGGGAUAACGUCCGGAAACGGGCGCUAAUACCGCGUACGUCCUACGGGAGAAAGCAGGGGAUCUUCGGACCUUGCGCUAUCAGAUGAGCCCAGGUCGGAUUAGCUAGUAGGUGAGGUAAUGGCUCACCUAGGCGACGAUCCGUAACUGGUCUGAGAGGAUGAUCAGUCACACUGGAACUGAGACACGGUCCAGACUCCUACGGGAGGCAGCAGUGGGGAAUAUUGGACAAUGGGGGCAACCCUGAUCCAGCCAUGCCGCGUGUGUGAAGAAGGUCUUCGGAUUGUAAAGCACUUUAAGUUGGGAGGAAGGGCUUUAGGUUAAUACCCUGAAGUUUUGACGUUACCAACAGAAUAAGCACCGGCUAACUCUGUGCCAGCAGCCGCGGUAAUACAGAGGGUGCAAGCGUUAAUCGGAAUUACUGGGCGUAAAGCGCGCGUAGGUGGUUCAGUAAGAUGGGUGUGAAAUCCCCGGGCUUAACCUGGGAACUGCUUUCAUAACUGCUGAGCUAGAGUACGGUAGAGGGUAGUGGAAUUUCCUGUGUAGCGGUGAAAUGCGUAGAUAUAGGAAGGAACACCAGUGGCGAAGGCGACUACCUGGACUGAUACUGACACUGAGGUGCGAAAG
rnacentral:rRNA from 1 species